rnacentral:misc_RNA from 1 species
AAGUCGUAACAAGGUCUCCGUAGGUGAACCUGCGGAGGGAUCAUCAAAGAAAUAAUAAUAUUCUAAACCCCAAGUGUUAGGAAAGGAAGGAAAAAAAGAAGAGUAUAUCUAAUUUUCCUUCUUUUUCUAAUGCUUCAAACAAACGAUCACAACUAAAGAGAAAAUGGUGGAUACUUGGUUUUUUUUUUCGAGGGAAAUAAGUGCUUGCCUGAUAAUCUGAUUAUUGGAAUUGGAAAGAGAAACAAAUAUACAACUUUCAACAACGGAUCUCUUGGCUCUC